CGUUCAUGCUGAUAAAGGACCUUGUCUGGAUUUACUGAUUUCAAUAUCAAGCUUAAACUAAAAUUCUGAAAAA